UACAGAGGGGGCAAGCGUUGUUCGGAAUUACUGGGCGUAAAGGGCGCGUAGGCGGCCUGUUAAGUCGAACGUGAAAUCCCCGGGCUCAACCCGGGAACUGCGUCCGAAACUGGCAGGCUCGAAUUCGGGAGAGGGAUGCGGAAUUCCAGGUGUAGCGGUGAAAUGCGCAGAUAUCAGGAGGAACACCGGUGGCGAAGGCGGGUCUCUGGGCCGAUAUUGACGCUGAGGAGCGAAAGCGUGGGGAGCGAACAGG
rnacentral:rRNA from 1 species